rnacentral:rRNA from 1 species
GUGGGGAAUAUUGGACAAUGGGCGAAAGCCUGAUCCAGCAAUGCCGCGUGAGUGAUGAAGGCCUUAGGGUUGUAAAGCUCUUUUACCAGGGAUGAUAAUGACAGUACCUGGAGAAUAAGCUCCGGCUAACUCCGUGCCAGUAGCCGCGGUAAUACGGAGGGAGCUAGCGUUGUUCGGAAUUACUGGGCGUAAAGCGCACGUAGGCGGUUACUCAAGUCAGAGGUGAAAGCCCGGGGCUCAACCCCGGAACUGCCUUUGAAACUAGGUAACUAGAAUCUUGGAGAGGUCAGUGGAAUUCCGAGUGUAGAGGUGAAAUUCGUAGAUAUUCGGAAGAACACCAGUGGCGAAGGCGACUGACUGGACAAGUAUUGACGCUGAGGUGCGAAAGCGUGGGGAGCAAACAGGAUUAGAUACCCCUGUAGUCC